UACGUAGGCAGCGAGCGUUGUUCGGAAUUACUGGGCGUAAAGAGUGUGUAGGCGGUGCUCUAAGUUUGGUGUGAAAUCUUCCGGCUUAACUGGGAGGGUGCGCCGGAAACUGGAGUGCUCGAGCGUGGGAGAGGAAAGCGGAAUUCCUGGUGUAGCGGUGAAAUGCGUAGAUAUCAGGAGGAACACCUGCGGUGUAGACGGCUUUCUGGGCCAUUGCUGACGCUGAGACACGAAAGCGUGGGUAGCAAACAGG
rnacentral:rRNA from 1 species